rnacentral:sRNA from 12 species
UGGUUAUGAAACAAUUGACUGUGUCGGUAUGCAGCCGAUUGUGGAGCCAGACCUUGGGUUAUGCGAUAACCUCAAACCGAAUAGGUUCUUCAGAACUGAAAGAAAACGCUUUUA